AAAACCAGAAUUAAAAUCGGGAAAAGAUUCAUCAUCUACUCUUUCAAAAUCCGUCUGCAAAUUGAAGGUGAUAUCUCGCAAGGGAAUCGUGAACGCAAAGGGAAGAAAAUAGUUUCGGAUUAAGCAAUCGAGGUUGAGCGGCGACGAGGAUGUGGUGGUGUUGAGCAAGUGAAUUUAAGAUUUUAUUGUUG